GAAUAUUGGACAAUGGGGGCAACCCUGAUCCAGCGACGCCGCGUGGGUGAAGAAGGCCUGCGGGUUGUAAAGCCCUUUCGGUGGGGAAGAAAAGCCUCGACCUAAUACGUCGGGGUCUUGACGUAACCCACAAAACAAGCCCCGGCUAACUCUGUGCCAGCAGCCGCGGUAAUACAGAGGGUGCGAGCGUUAAUCGGAAUUACUGGGCGUAAAGCGCGCGUAGGCGGCGUGAUAAGCCGGUUGUGAAAGCCCCGGGCUCAACCUGGGAACGGCAUCCGGAACUGUCAGGCUAGAGUGCAGGAGAGGAAGGUAGAAUUCCCGGUGUAGCGGUGAAAUGCGUAGAGAUCGGGGGGAAUACCAGUGGCGAAGGCGGCCUUCUGGACUGACACUGACGCUGAGGUGCGAAAGCAUGGGUAGCAAACAGG
rnacentral:rRNA from 1 species